rnacentral:piRNA from 1 species
UCAUCAUGGGAGUGAUUUGUCAGCGGACGC